rnacentral:lncRNA from 1 species
UGGGGAUUAUGCAGCUCCGAAAUGAGUGUACUACAUGCAGCAGCUGGAUCGCCGGAAGAAGCGACACAAGUUAUUAUUUUUGAGACUUCUUCAUUCAACAAGCACAACUACCUGCAUUAAAGUACAGUCUCAAUACUGGUUAUAGUGUCGGUUUGGCGGAGUGUUUCGUUUAGUACCUUUUGUACAUCUGUACUAAAUUCCUCGACUUGUUUGCCAUGUGCCACUUUAAGUUUCUCCAUAGCACGUCCCUGUUUAACGCCGAUUUGCUAUAGGAAAAUAAAUUGUCGGGCGAACAACACUCGAAGGAUACUCAUAAAGCAGGCAAUAUGGCUUGAAGGACAAUGAAGAUGUCCCACUUCUACUACUCAGCACACACAGCGAGGUAAGGCAGAAAAAUGCCAAUAAAACAAAAAGAAAAUAUGCUUAAAGGUUCACAACGUUUAAUGAUGCUGGAGUGGGCGGUGUAAUGAAAGGAAAAAUAUUAGUGUUAGAAGUGAAAAUUAUAUUAAUAAAUAUUUAAAAAGCAAAAAAUAGUGAA